AUUAUCAUAGUCGUGUGUGCUAUGUGUAUCAACACAAGCGCUGGACGCGUAUAUUACUAUGUGAGUGGUGUAGACAGGCGAUCAAUGUUAUCUAUCGAAUUCGGAUUUAAGACUCAGACUGUGAAUUUCAGACGCAACCGCGUAAGGCACUUUUCUUUAAUCGAUUUAAUAUGGUCGCCUUUUCGUAACAGCAUAUACCUACAAUUAUAACUGAGCAUACAGGUGCAUACAUAAUACAUAGAUGAUAGCACUAGAUAAUGAAAAAAAAAAUAAAUAAAUAUAUAGAUAAAAAUGUAUUAACGAAUUAAAUGCUUCAGAUAGAACAUUGUAAUUUUAUAAAAGGAGCGAAAUAAGACAUUUCUAUCUAGAAAUGACUUGAAAUCGUAUUAUUGAGAUAUGUAUAAUUUUAUGUGCUAGACUAGGUUAGACUUGUAUGUGAAUAUUAGUGUGUGGAAGUAUGUGUGUGCGCGGCGUCUCGAAAACAAAGGAAUGUAAACUGUCCAGUUAACAAUCUGUUAUGGGAGAAAGUGCUGAGACGCGUGCAAAUGUGUAUCCAUGAAUAUCUUUGGAAUCGUUUAUCGAAUAAAUAUAUAACUAUUCUAAUAUAAAUUCAAAGUGUAUAUUUAGUGUUCCUAUACUAUUAUUUCGGCUAUUAAGAUCCAAUAUUCUCAACACAGAUUUAAUUAAUAUUUUUAAAUAUGCGUACAAUUAAUACACAAAAAUUGUUAAGAAAUUAGUGGUUUCAACGUACGUGGUAUGUACGUGGUAUUACAAUAAAACGUCUUAUCGAUAUUUAAAGAGAGAAUUCAAGAAUGGGAUGUAUGGAAAUACCUGGAGCCCUUUCCAACGCACCCCGAAUAGCGUUAGUCACGGCCAAUGUAAGGAACCAAGAGGGUGGCAGUAGGGCAGCAGAAAAAUCGGAAACCACCGAAAUUACUACGGAAAUGGAUGAAGUUAAAAAGAUAAGAAAGUCGGAAAUUAUCCCAAGGAUACGUCUGUUAGUUUCCAAUUGAGGGUACUUUUGCAACUGUUUCGCAGAAGGCAAUGUUGGUAGUAACUGCUAGUAAUAAAUGGAUGUUCGUGAGAUUACAGAAAUUAGAUCCGAAGAAAAUCAUGUUGAGUUUCUGAAAAAUGGUAUCUAAAUAUGUAGAUCUGAUGAAAAUUGUGAUGAAUUUCUGAAGCAUACCUAGUAUAAAUUUAUUGCACACAAUAUCGUGUAAUUAAUAAUGCAAUUGGAGAGAGCAUGAUGAUAAGAAUCGAGAUCUAUGUGUAGGUAAUGCCAUUUGUACUUGCAGUGACAUGGAAAAAGGAAUAGACAAUGCAGGAUAAUAUUUUUUCAUUUGAAGCUUCAUUUUCCAAGAUAAUAGGUUUGAACUUUAUAUUUUAUUGGGUUAAGUUUAGGUCGGACUGUAUAAAAAUGAGGCUGUCUGCUGCAAAAUGAAAUGUAAUCGUAACAUUAAUUGUAUUAAAGCUUUCUGCGAAUAUCUCGGAAACUAAAGCCAAGUAGCGAUAAUAUGUAUAAAAAAAGUUGUCCAGAAUGAUGACCUCGACACAUCUCAAAAUCAUGAAAAUCGGUGAACUGUGUCCUUUUAUAUGUAAUUUCUUAAAUAAGUUUUAUAUUUACAUAAUGAAAAAUAAUACGAUAUAUAUCUCAAUCUUUAUUAUUUAUUUGCUAAUAGUAUUAACAAGAACACUGUUAUUGUUAACAAAACAACAACGUAUGAUUCGUAUUAUUCAUUUCCAUAAUGUAUUAU